rnacentral:rRNA from 1 species
CAGGCUUAACACAUGCAAGUCGAGGGGCAUCAGGAAGAAAUCUUGCUUUCUUUGCUGGCGACCGGCGCACGGGUGAGUAACACGUAUCCAACCUGCCCUUUACUCGGGGAUAGCCUUUCGAAAGAAAGAUUAAUACCCGAUGGCAUAAUGAUUCCGCAUGGUUUCAUUAUUAAAGGAUUCCGGUAAAGGAUGGGGAUGCGUUCCAUUAGGUUGUUGGUGAGGUAACGGCUCACCAAGCCUUCGAUGGAUAGGGGUUCUGAGAGGAAGGUCCCCCACAUUGGAACUGAGACACGGUCCAAACUCCUACGGGAGGCAGCAGUGAGGAAUAUUGGUCAAUGGGCGCUAGCCUGAACCAGCCAAGUAGCGUGAAGGAUGAAGGCUCUAUGGGUCGUAAACUUCUUUUAUAUAAGAAUAAAGUGCAGUAUGUAUACUGUUUUGUAUGUAUUAUAUGAAUAAGGAUCGGCUAACUCCGUGCCAGCAGCCGCGGUAAUACGGAGGAUCCGAGCGUUAUCCGGAUUUAUUGGGUUUAAAGGGAGCGUAGGUGGACUGGUAAGUCAGUUGUGAAAGUUUGCGGCUCAACCGUAAAAUUGCAGUUGAUACUGUCAGUCUUGAGUACAGUAGAGGUGGGCGGAAUUCGUGGUGUAGCGGUGAAAUGCUUAGAUAUCACGAAGAACUCCGAUUGCGAAGGCAGCUCACUGGACUGCAACUGACACUGAUGCUCGAAAGUGUGGGUAUCAAACAGGAUUAGAUACCCUGGUAGUCCACACAGUAAACGAUGAAUACUCGCUGUUUGCGAUAUACAGUAAGCGGCCAAGCGAAAGCAUUAAGUAUUCCACCUGGGGAGUACGCCGGCAACGGUGAAACUCAAAGGAAUUGACGGGGGCCCGCACAAGCGGAGGAACAUGUGGUUUAAUUCGAUGAUACGCGAGGAACCUUACCCGGGCUUAAAUUGCAGUGGAAUGAUGUGGAAACAUGUCAGUGAGCAAUCACCGCUGUGAAGGUGCUGCAUGGUUGUCGUCAGCUCGUGCCGUGAGGUGUCGGCUUAAGUGCCAUAACGAGCGCAACCCUUAUCUUUAGUUACUAACAGGUUAUGCUGAGGACUCUAGAGAGACUGCCGUCGUAAGAUGUGAGGAAGGUGGGGAUGACGUCAAAUCAGCACGGCCCUUACGUCCGGGGCUACACACGUGUUACAAUGGGGGGUACAGAAGGCAGCUAGCGGGUGACCGUAUGCUAAUCCCAAAAGCCUCUCUCAGUUCGGAUCGAAGUCUGCAACCCGACUUCGUGAAGCUGGAUUCGCUAGUAAUCGCGCAUCAGCCACGGCGCGGUGAAUACGUUCCCGGGCCUUGUACACACCGCCCGUCAAGCCAUGGGAGCCGGGGGUACCUGAAGUACGUAACCGCAAGGAUCGUCCUAGGGUAAAACUGGUGACUG